CCUCAUGUAAGGGCUGGCAGCAGUGAGAGAAGUUUCUUUACUCAAACAUCAUCUUUGGAGUGCUUGGCGAGCUCUGAGUCUUGGAAGUGGGGGCUUAUCAAGAAGGUCUCCAUAGCAUGUAGUGGUGACGAAGUCUAAUUUUUUAAUGCAGUCUUCCUUCACAUCAAGCACUAAAUCUUAUUGUUGUUGGAGUGGGGACAUAGCAUUCACUUGUCACCAGCCAGGUAUCCCUAAAGACCUCGCUGCCCCACUAACGCAGCACUACCAGACCAGGAAGAGCCAUGGGCUGGCCUCUGCUUUGGAAGGAGGUGAUCAAACCUGAGACGAAGAAAGUCACGAAGUCAGAGCUCAAGUGCUGUGGUGUCCUUUUAAUCAUAUCCUCAGCAUCAAAGUGUGAAACUGUCACUAGUGGUGCCUUAGAGGGGUAAAUAUCUUCUGCUGUCGCUCCUCCCACUAUGCGGAUGACCUGACCUGGAUUUCUGUUGUGCUGGUAACACAUCUGCAUUUCUCUUUGAAAUAACGUCUUAGCAGAACGGAAGGUCCCCAGGGUUUCUAAAAGUGGCCCUGCAGGAAUGUCCCAAAUCAUAAAAUGGGAAAAAUAUUCAAGAUAUUCAGUAACUUCACCUACUGCGUGUCAGUACUGAAACUGUUUUUCAG
ensembl:lncRNA